UGGGGAAUAUUGGACAAUGGGGGGAACCCUGAUCCAGCUAUGCCGCGUGAAUGAUGAAGGCCUUCGGGUUGUAAAGUUCUUUUAUAAGGGAAGAUGAUGACGGUACCUUAUGAAUAAGCACCGGCAAACUUCGUGCCAGCAGCCGCGGUAAUACGAAGGGUGCUAGCGUUGUUCGGAUUUACUGGGCGUAAAGCGCACGUAGGUGGUUAUAUAAGUCAGUGGUGAAAUUCCAGAGCUCAACUUUGGGACUGCCAAUGAUACUGUAUAGCUAGAGUGUAUGAGAGGAUGAUGGAAUAUCCAGUGUAGAGGUGAAAUUCGUAGAUAUUGGAUAGAACACCAGUGGCGAAGGCGAUCAUCUGGCAUACAACUGACACUGAGGUGCGAAAGCGUGGGUAGCAAACA
rnacentral:rRNA from 1 species